GGGAGGUAGUGACAAUAAAUAACAAUACGGGGUUCUUUCGGAUCUCGUAAUUGGAAUGAGUACAAUUUAAAUCUCUUAACGAGGAACAAUUGGAGGGCAAGUCUGGUGCCAGCAGCCGCGGUAAUUCCAGCUCCAAUAGCGUAUAUUAAAGUUGUUGCAGUUAAAAAGCUCGUAGUUGAAUUUCGGGAUCAGUAGGUUGGUCAUGCCUAUGGUAUGUACUGGCUUUACUGGUUCCUCCUUCUUGAUGAUCUGUAAUGUCAUUAAUUUGGUGUUGCAGGGAGUCAGGACUGUUACUUUGAAAAAUUAGAGUGUUUAAAGCAGGCAUACGCUUGAAUACAUUAGCAUGGAAUAAUGAAAUAGGACGUUCGAACCUAUUUUGUUGGUUUCUAGGAUUGACGUAAUGAUUAAUAGGGAUAGUUGGG
rnacentral:rRNA from 1 species